AUUCGAUUGGAUUAGGCAUGCAAGUCGUACGAGAACGGGAUGCUUCUGAUCUUUCGGGUGAAGAAGCGCCUUAGUAGAGUGGCGAACGGGUGAGUAGCGCGUGGGGAACCUGCCCUCGAGUUGGGGAUAACGCUCCCAACGGGGUGCUAAUACCGAAUGUGUGCCGGAACUCGCAUGGGAUCCGGAGUAAAGGUGGGGAUCCUUCGGGACCUGCCGCUCGGGGAUGGUCCCGCGUCCCAUUAGCUUGUUGGUGAGGUAACGGCUCACCAAGGCUACGAUGGGUAGCUGGUCUGAGAGGAUGGUCAGCCACACUGGGACUGAGAUACGGCCCAGACUCCUACGGGAGGCAGCAGUCGAGAGGCUUCGGCAAUGGGCGAAAGCCUGACCGAGCGACGCCGCGUGGGUGAUGAAGGCCCUUUGGGUCGUAAAGCCCUGUCAUGGGGGAAGAAACACUUGGGGGUGAACAGCCCUCAAGUCUGACGGUACCCCAAGAGGAAGCUCCGGCUAACUCCGUGCCAGCAGCCGCGGUAAUACGGGGGGAGCAAGCGUUGUUCGGAAUUACUGGGCGUAAAGGGCGUGUAGGCGGUCGUGCCAGUCAGGGGUGAAAUGCAUCGGCUUAACCGGUUGACCUGCCCUUGAAACUGCACGACUUGAGUACGGAAGAGGAGAGCGGAAUUCCUGGUGUAGCGGUGAAAUGCGUAGAUAUCAGGAAGAACACCUGUGGCGAAGGCGGCUCUCUGGUCCAGUACUGACGCUGAGGCGCGAAAGCCAGGGGAGCGAACGGGAUUAGAUACCCCGGUAGUCCUGGCCGUAAACGAUGAGCACUAGGUGUAGGA
rnacentral:rRNA from 1 species